CGCGUGCUCCGGGGUCGGUGUAAUUCCGAGCCGGCGGUGACAGUCCGCGACCCGCGGUCCCAUCCUCGUGAUGAGACUUCGGUUGAGCCGGUGAAAUUCCGGCACCGACGGUGAAAGUCCGGAAGGGAGGAGCAUGAG
rnacentral:ncRNA from 1 species